CGCGAAUGGCUCAUUACAACAGCUAUAAUUUACUUGAUCUUGACUUCCUACUUGGAUAACUGUGGUAAUUCUAGAGCUAAUACAUGCACCAAAGCUCCGACCUUACGGGAAGAGCGCAUUUAUUCGAACAAAACCAAGCGGCUUCGGCCGUCCGCAGUUGACUCAGAAUAACUAAGCUGAUCGCAUGGUCUUGAACCGGCGACGUGUCUUUCAAGUAUCUGCCUUAUCAACUUUCGAUGGUAGUGUAUCUGACUACCAUGGUGGUGACGGGUAACGGAGGAUAAGGGUUCGACUCCGGAGAAGGGGCCUGAGAAAUGGCCACUACGUCUAAGGAUGGCAGCAGGCGCGCAAAUUACCCACUCUCAGAAUGAGGAGGUAGUGACGAGAAAUAACGAGACCGUUCUCUACGAGGCCGGUCAUCGGAAUGGGUACAAUUUAAACCCUUUAGCGAGUAUCUAUGAGAGGGCAAGUCUGGUGCCAGCAGCCGCGGUAAUUCCAGCU
rnacentral:rRNA from 1 species